UCUCUCUCUCUCUCUCUCUCUCUCUCUCUCUCUCUCUCUCUCUCACUUGCUCUCUUUCUUCUCUUUUCUCUUCCCCUCUCUCUUUCUCACUGUUUCUCCUCUCUUUUCUUCUUUCUCCCCAUCUCUCUUUCUCUCUCCACCCUCCCUCCCUCCUUCUACUUUAUCUCUUCUCUGUUACUCUCUCAUUUUUCUGUUUUCUCUUUCAGUAACUCUGUCUUUGACUCUGCCACUGUCUCUCUUUGUCUUCUUGUUGGUCUCUGUUGCUGUCUCCAUUUCCAUCUCUGUCUCUCAGUCUCAGUCUCUCUUUUAGUCUCUGUUGCUUUGUCUCUCUAUCUUUGUCUGUCUCCCUCUCUCCCUCCCCCCCCCCACACUUCCUUCUUAUCCAUCUGCAUCAGUAGAUUGUUGUUCCUAACCCCAGAUAUUUUUUCUACUUUCGAAGACAAAACUCCAGUUAAAAGGGCAUUUUAGAUUUGCAGGUUUCUAGUUAAUUCAAAUUUUAAUGUAUUUCUAUUGAGAUGUAGAUAGACAACUGCUUUUGGACAGUGAGUUUGCUCCAGAAUUGAACAAUAAGAGGAGAGCAUCUUGAUUUACAUUUGCUAAAUUGCAUAAUAAUUUGAAUGAAUCCAAACUUCUAACUUUUAUAAAGGUUCAUAUCUCAAAAAAAUGUUUUCCUUCAAUUGCAAUAAUAUGCUUAUGUAUCAUGGAGUGCUACAAUUUCUCCAGGAUUAAUAUUGCAGUUAUACAAAGGACAAUAAAAAAAUAAUUGAAGCAGAAAGCAGCAGGAUUUUUCUCAACAAAGAAAAGUAUGAUAAAAAAUGCAUUGGACAUAUGUUGAGAUCAAAGGGAUAAACUCUAAGUUCAAAUGGUGUCCUUACUCCAUGAAGAAUGAGAAGAAAUUCUCCAUCAUGCUUAGUAGAACUGGUGGAAGAUCUGCAGAAAGACAUAGGCAAGAUAUGCCCUGGAAGAGAAGACACAUAUGGGGUUGAAAUAUGCAUUGUCAGCAAUACUCACAUGGACUAAGUCACAGAUCCAUUGAAGCAGAUGGACAUUUCUAGAUAUAAAGUACAUUGAUCUUGAUCAUGGGGUUUGUCUCCAAGGCAGGACCAUACAGUGGCAAAAGCACUAUAUUUCAAGUCGAAGGACAUCUUUUUGAGUCCUUCUCAUUUUGUUUCUCUUUGGAUGACCUUGGGAAAGUCACUUUAAAUUUUAAGCCCUCAGCGGACUUCCUUGUCUAUAAGAUGAAUAAAUUGGACCAGAUGGACUCUA